rnacentral:rRNA from 1 species
UACAGAGGGUGCGAGCGUUGUCCGGAAUCACUGGGCGUAAAGGGCGCGUAGGCGGCCUGGCAAGUCUGUGGUGAAAGCUCGUGGCUCAACUGCGAGUCGGCCAUAGAUACUGCGAGGCGUCGAGUCGACUAGAGGCAGAUGGGAAUUCCGGGUGUAGCGGUGGAAUGCGUAGAGAUCCGGAAGAACACCGGUGGCGAAGGCGGUCUGCUGGGGUCGAACUGACGCUGAUGCGC